GCCAGCCCUCCGCCUCGAGGCCACUGGUGCUUGGGGGUGGGAAAAGAGUGACCGGGGGCAACUGAGCAAAACAUAGAACAGAAACUCCCUCUCGAAUAGAGACCCACGCACGGAAGGAUGAUACACUGUGAUUCCCCGACGUGGGCCUGCAGCAAGAGACGGGUGCUAACAGCGUCCGAGCCAAUCCGCGCGGGCCUCCCUGCUGUCAUCACACCUCGGAUCACCCCAGGCAAUCUCGCCCCUGUGGCUUCACCUGGGUCCAGCCAGACCUCUGCUCAGCUCUGCACGUGCUUAUCACACAUGCAGUCAAUGAACACCUCACAAAUGCAAGGUUCACAUGCAGUCUUCGAUGAACACAUCGAUCGCAUCCAGCAGUAUGUCUGUAUUGGAAAAGUCCUUCCAUAGCACCCAGUAAUGAAAAGGAAUGUGGCGGGGAGCAGUACUGGACAGUAAAACUAAAAACACCAGGAAGAUCACAGUGAGAUCAGCAGAGCCCUAGAAUGGCAAAUCCAUGACAAAGAAAAUUUCUGAUGAAUAAAAACGUGCCUGGGUCCAGGCCAGCAAU
rnacentral:lncRNA from 1 species